UACAGAGGUCCCGAGCGUUGUUCGGAUUCACUGGGCGUAAAGGGUGCGUAGGUGGCGUGGUAAGUCGGGUGUGAAAUUUCGGAGCUUAACUCCGAAACUGCAUUCGAUACUGCCGUGCUUGAGGACUGGAGAGGAGACUGGAAUUUACGGUGUAGCAGUGAAAUGCGUAGAGAUCGUAAGGAAGACCAGUGGCGAAGGCGGGUCUCUGGACAGUUCCUGACACUGAGGCACGAAGGCCAGGGGAGCAAACGGG
rnacentral:rRNA from 1 species